UGGGGAAUUUUGGACAAUGGGCGAAAGCCUGAUCCAGCAAUGCCGCGUGUGUGAAGAAGGCCUUCGGGUUGUAAAGCACUUUUGUCCGGGAAAGAAAUCCUUGGCUCUAAUACAGUCGGGGGAUGACGGUACCGGAAGAAUAAGCACCGGCUAACUACGUGCCAGCAGCCGCGGUAAUACGUAGGGUGCAAGCGUUAAUCGGAAUUACUGGGCGUAAAGCGUGCGCAGGCGGUUUGCUAAGACCGAUGUGAAAUCCCCGGGCUCAACCUGGGAACUGCAUUGGUGACUGGCAGGCUAGAGUAUGGCAGAGGGGGGUAGAAUUCCACGUGUAGCAGUGAAAUGCGUAGAGAUGUGGAGGAAUACCGAUGGCGAAGGCAGCCCCCUGGGCCAAUACUGACGCUCAUGCACGAAAGCGUGGGGAGCAAACAGGAUUAGAUACCCUGGUAGUCCACGCCCUAAACGAUGUCAACUAGUUGUUGGGGAUUCAUUUCCUUAGUAACGUAGCUAACGCGUGAAGUUGACCGCCUGGGGAGUACGGUCGCAAGAUUAAAACUCAAAGGAAUUGACGGGGUCAUAGCUGUUU
rnacentral:rRNA from 1 species